CUGCCAGUUGUGCUUGUUCCUUCUCCUUCAUCUCUUGUAAUUGUAACGUCAAGGUUGCCACUUGUUCUGACAGGUCCUUUACCUCUUUGUCGUAUACCUGUUUGUCCACGUAUCGUUUAUCUUGGUCGCCAUGUUCAGGCAGUGAACGUGGAUCUGAAAUAAGGUUCUUAGUCAACAGUUUGUUUCGAAUUUGUUACCCAUUAAUGCAUGUUAACAAUUCGUCACAAGCACAUACAAUGAUCAUUACAAUAGACCUAAAAUCGGAUCGAUUCUGCUUGUAACGUCACCUAUCCAGUCAACGAAAUAGGCUUGCGAAAAAUCAGAAAGGCAGGUACAUUGUUUCCACAAGAUAAACAUGUUCAACAAAAGUAUUAGUAAGGAGUGAAGCUGGAAUGUGUACGCGCAAUAUUGCAUCGUCGAACCCUGCAAGAGCUUCUCAGAGGAUAUGGAGAAUCUUGCAUUUUCAAGGACUCACAGGGUCAUAGCUAUGGCCAAUAAAAAUGAGGCAUGCCA